AUUGAACGCUGGCGGCAGGCCUAACACAUGCCAGUCGAGCGGAUGAAGGGAGCUUGCUCCUGGAUUCAGCGGCGGACGGGUGAGUAAUGCCUAGGAAUCUGCCUGGUAGUGGGGGAUAACGUCCGGAAACGGGCGCUAAUACCGCAUACGUCCUGAGGGAGAAAGUGGGGGAUCUUCGGACCUCACGCUAUCAGAUGAGCCUAGGUCGGAUUAGCUAGUUGGUGGGGUAAAGGCCUACCAAGGCGACGAUCCGUAACUGGUCUGAGAGGAUGAUCAGUCACACUGGAACUGAGACACGGUCCAGACUCCUACGGGAGGCAGCAAUGGGGAAUAUUGGACAAUGGGCGAAAGCCUGAUCCAGCCAUGCCGCGUGUGUGAAGAAGGUCUUCGGAUUGUAAAGCACUUUAAGUUGGGAGGAAGGGCAGUAAGUUAAUACCUUGCUGUUUUGACGUUACCAACAGAAUAAGCACCGGCUAACUUCGUG
rnacentral:rRNA from 1 species